ACCAUCUUUUUCAUUCCCCAAUUAACUCACACCCAGUUUCAUAGAUUUUCUAUACUACCCCAACAUUACUCUCUCCAGGUAUUACCAUAAUUUUCCCUUCAAUUCUGUUUUCUUUUCUCUGUUUGUUUCUCGAGAAAAUUACCUAGCUUUUUUUUUUUUAAAUCUACGUGAGCUUAAAAGUGAGUAUCUUCUGUCUAGAUUUCCAGUCUUUGGUAGAUCUAUUAUAGUUAUGUUUUUUUUUUCUAUUUUUCAAUCAUUUGUUGUUAAUUUUGUGUGGAAUUGGUUAGAUUGGAUCUGCUUGCGGGGUUGAAUUGGCGUUUUUAAUGUGUUUGAUUUGAUGGGUAUAUGAUUUUGAACUGUUUCUUUUAUUAGAAAAUUCUGUUACACAUCCUUUUAACAAUAACAAUGUCUGGUGUAAUCAUAGAUUCUUGAUAUUAAUGGGUGUAACAAAGCCUGGUGAUUUGUGGUCAACCACUGUAAUUUUUGUGGAAUUGAUAAAAUGGACAAUUCUUUUUUUGUUUUAUUGGGUCAUUUUUUUCUUUGUUCUUUUUUUUUGGUUUUUUCUGUUUGGCAUUUCAUCAUUCAUCUGAUAUGCAUUGCCUUAUUGUUUUCAAUUAUUAUCCAAUGCAUGAAAAAUGAACACAAAGGAAUUAUUUUUAUAUAUAUAUACAUAUACAUGCAUUAUUAAACCGAUGCAGUUCGUACUAUCUGUAAUGUUUUGUUUGAGUGUAACAUUUUGUAUGGUGGUGUUGUUUAUGUCUUCUUUCAUGACUUUGAAUUUAGUCUCGAUAAUCUUUGCUACUGCUCACUAAAGGAGAAAGGAGAACAAAAUGCCUCAAUGAUCUCUGUUGUAUUUUCAUAAUUUUUUUACAAGUUAGCAGUAAAAGGGCUGGUUAUAUGGAGAAAGUAAAAAUAUACAGCAGAGUUGAAGGAAUGAUGUAAUGAAUUGAAACAUGGAACAAUGCAGACAGUAAAAGGGUACAUAUAUGUUGCCUUAUUUCCUUUAGUUAAGCUUAUGAAUUGAAUUGGUGAUUCAAAGAUGCAUGAAUUUCUAGCCUUUUAGUAAUAUUUCUCAUGUUCCCAAAUAAACUAAUCAGAAUUCCAAGGUAACAAAACUGACCAGUAUUGAAAUAGUAAUUUUUCUCAUGUUUUCUAGUUAUGCCUUUCCUUAUGAAAAUGUCCAACAUUGCUUGUGCAUUAAUUAAUUAAUCCAUGUGUAUGCUUUAUUUAUUCAAAUGAUUAAUACCUAAUUCAAAAAGUAUUUUUAUAUUUUCAAAUUUUCAUAAAAAUAAUUGUAACAAAAUUUAAAAAUCUUAAAAAUAAAUAAAAAUUUAUAUAAAAAAUCAAUUGGUGCGAGAAAAAAAAAAUAAAUUUCCAACUAAUUUUUCCACACCUAAUCUCAUAAAUAAUUAGUCUUUAAACUUUCACAAAAAAAAAAUUAAAUACCCAUUCACUUUAAUCCUACUCGUUUUUCAUUAUGUAAAGUGAAUUGAGUUUUUGGGAAAAUGAAAAAAAAAAGUAAAUUGGGAAUGUUUGUACUGGCAUUAAUGAAGUGCUAAAACAGGGGAGAAGUCAGGAAUUUUUUUAGGGGGCUAAAAUUAAAUUUUAAUUUAUACAAUAGUAAAAAUGUAAUUUCACCAUUUUAAUAGUUUGUAUCUUUAUAACUUUUAAAGGAUUAAAUCAAAUUUUUAUCAUUUUUAAGGAGAGUCAAAUUGUAAUUUUACCUUUACAAAAUUAAAAUUGUAAAAAUUUUAUUCACUAAUAUCUGCCUUAAUAAAUCAUUAUGCUUUUUUUUUAUUGGCUAAUAUUUGCCUUAAUAAUGAGUGCAAAAAUAUUUAGUUGUAAACUAAUUAGUCUACAUACCAAGUCUUGGCUUUAAUUAUUCUUCAGGGUAAGACUUGGAUUUAAUUUUCCUCACCACAUCAAACUCAGUCUAUAUUGUAAAUUAUUUUGUGCAUUUAUGCUGCAAAUGACUGAAAUUUCCUUAUUGCUUGUGGAUUAAGUGAGAGGAAGUAUUGGAAAUCUAUUUUGAAAGUGAAUGCAUUGAUGUGAAAUUGAGGGAGCAGUCAACACGUUGGAGACAAAUAUUAAGUGCUCCACAGAAAAUGAACAGCCCAAUAACAAUGUUGAUAUGAGUCUUGGUAAAAUUGGUGGACUCCAUCUCCUUAUUAAUUGUCAGUGCAAUUGGGGUGUUGUGUCGAGUCUCUACUGUCUUCCACCAUCAAGGACCAAACAUCAGGUGGUGUUAUAGGAAACAAGACCAAGCCAAUAUACAUGCAGUGAAAGGUUUCUCUAUUUGAUAACUCUGUUAAAAUUCUUCUAUUAAAUUUAUUAGUGUGAUAUUUGAAAUUUUUUAAAAAAAUUUAAUUAAUUGUUGGUGUGACAUACACACGUACUAUCAUGUGGAUGCCAUGUCGUUAAAAUUAACAGACAUUAACUUUUCUAUCUAUUUUGAGUUGAUUUAACAAAUAAUGCAAUUUCAAGAGCUAAAAAAUAUGAAAAAUUAAAUGAAUGGCUAAAACAGGAGAGAAGCCAGAAAUUUUUUUUAGAGGGACAAAAUUAGUGUCCAAAGUAGUGGGCACCGUUUUGAUUAAAACAAAAUAACUUUUUUGCAGCUUUUUUAUACUAGCGCCACUACAGCCAGACAUAUUGCGACGUUUUGACCUCUCUUACAACAGAAUUGGAGGCAAGAUUCCACCGUGGAUGCAAGAGGUGGGGAAUGACUCUUUGUGGAAUUUAAAUGUAUCUCAUAACUCUUUGACAGAAGUUGAGCACUUUCCAUGGAAAAAUAUUGCGUAUCUUGACUUAAGCUCCAAUUUGAUCUGUGGAAAUCUUCAGAUUCCAGCUUCGACGAUCAAUGUGUUUCUGAUCUCAAAAAAUAGUUUCAAUGGAGAGGUCGCUUCUUUACUAUGCAAUGCCACUUCUCUUAAAAUUCUUGAUUUGUCCCACAAUAACUUGAGUGGAACAAUUCCGCAAUGUUUUGGAAAUUUGAGCUACAGCCUUGAAUUCUUGAAUCUGAAGAAGAACAAGUUUUAUGGGACGAUUCCUCCAACAUUUGCACAGGGAUGCCAAUUGGCUAAUUUGAACUUAAAUGGAAAUCUGUUAGAAGGGCCUUUGACACCAUCCAUCCUUAAUUGUAAAGGUCUGGAAGUGCUAGAUCUUGGUAACAACAAGAUCAAUGAUACAUUUCCUCAUUGGUUGGGAAGUCUUCCACAGCUACAAGUUCUUGUAUUGAAAUCAAAUCAUAUGCAUGGUUCCUUGCGUGUCAAUAGCUCCAAGUCUAGCCCUUUUUUCUCUAAAAUCCAAAUUUUUGACCUCUCAAGUAAUUAUUUUUCUGGACCCCUACCAGUGAGAUACAUCAACAGCUUCAAGGCUAUCAUAAAUCUAGAGAAGAUUGGGAGUAUAAUGUCGUACAUGGGGGUGCAUGAUCAGAGAAGUAUUGACUUUUAUACCUGUUCCAUUGAAAUUGUUAUGAAAGGACAAUAUAAGGAAUUGGUGAAAAUUUUUACCAUGUGGAUGAUCAUAGAUCUAUCAAAUAAUCAGUUUGAAGGAGAGAUUCCAAAAGUUAUUGGGAAGCUUAACUUACUGAAAGGGCUCAACCUUUCUCAUAAUAACCUUAAUGGUGGUAUCCCCACAUCAAUAGGGAAUUUGACAAGUCUUGAACGGUUGGACCUACUUCAAACAGGUUGUCUGGGACGAUUCCAAAUAGAUUGGCAGAUCUGACAUCUCUUGAGCCCUUAAAUGUUUCUGAAAAUCAACUCCAUGGUCAGAUAACUCAAGGAAAACAAUUCAAAACAUUUGGAAAUGAUUCAUUUGAAGGAAAUAAGGGACUAUAUGGGUUUCCGGACUCGAAAGGUUGCAACAUCAUUGAGCCAGCACCUCCAAAUGUGCUUGAAAAAGAUGGCUCAAAAUCAAACAUUGCUUUUGGUUGGAAAGUGGUGUUGAUAGGUUAUGGAUGCGGAGUAGUGUUCGGAAUGUCGGUGGGAUAUAUUGUUUUCCGAACUGGUAAGUUGGUGAAUUUGGUAGAAAACCAACAAGAGAAGAGGCGAAGAAGAAAGUCAAAGAAAGGCAAUUGCAGCAAUAGACGAAGAUGGAUCUAAUUACGGCGAAUGAGGUUCAAGAAAUAGUGUUGUAUUUUCAUAAUUUCUUGUUUUGUAGACCAUUUUGCCUAUGGUGAAAGGUUGCAUUGGUAUCUGUCUGUCUUUAUUAUUGUGCCAAUUCCUCUGUCUUUCAUUGGAUUUCGUACUGUCUGUAAUGGCUUGUUUGAGUGUAACAUUUUGUAUGGUGAUGUUGUUUAUGUCUUCUGUCAUGACUUUCAAUUCAGUCUCAAUAAUCUUUGCUACUGCUCACUAAAGGAGAACAAAAUGUCUUAGUGAUCUCUGUUGUAUUUUCAUAAUUUUUUUACAAGUGUGUCUAAUGUUUUUACCAAUAUGUCUUUAUCUUUAGCAUUUUGCAUGGAGUAUUCCAAGUGAUGGCUUGUUCAUGAAUCACUUGACAAGCUAAUGAAUUAACAAGUUAAGUCUAUAGCUAACAUGGAAAUCAAGAUGUUGAUGGUGCAGACAAAGUUGGAAUUUCAAGCAUGCAUGUCUCUUUUUUCCCUCUAUUUCUAGAGUAAACGUAGUUCGGUAACAAAGUUGAUGUGAAAUGAGGUGUAAUUGGUGGAUCCCAUGUCCCUAAUUUCCUUUACGUAGGCUUAAUUGAAAUUUAACUAUUUUAUAUUUAAUGUUUAAACUUGUUUGAAAUUUUAAGAUUAGAAAAUCAAGGCAGUAAUAAUUUUAUUGGAGUAACAUAUCACUCCCAAAAGUGAGAAUUUAAUAAGACAUUUGAAGAGUGUUGUGUAAUUUGCAACGCUAGAAAGCAAUCAAAUUAAAGCAAAAAGGAAUUUAAAGGGACCAAAGAUGAAAUUUAACCAAAAAUAAGACGCUAGAAGGAGGGCUUGAACCUCCGAACUUGUGGUUAACAGCCACACGCUCUAGCCAACUGAGCUAUUCCAGCUUUGAGAAAAAUAAUUUUGUUGCUAUGUGUACAGAAUACAGUUUUGGGUGGUGUCAUAAUCUCUUAAUUAAAGAUCAACUAGCACCUCUCAAAGUUUGGCAAAAACAACAUAAAUUAAUUACUCAAAUUUAGUAAUGCGAAAAACAGAAUAGUUUAGCCAGAAAUGAAGAUCAAAAUUUUAGUAGUUACAAAAAAAAGAUAAACGAUUCUUCCACAAAAUAGAUAAAUGAAGAAGGAUGUAGUGGGUGCAAAUGAUGUUCAAGCAUUUCUGUUGUGUCUUCAUUUGUAGUCUGUCAGAAUGCUUUGCCUAUGGUGAAAAGUUGCAGUGAUAUGUGUCUGUUUUUAUGAUUGUACCAAUUCCUCCGUAUGUCAUUGCAUUUCGUACUAUUUGUAUGGUUGAUGUACCAAUUAAAUACCCAUUCCCUUUAAUCCUACUCGUUUUUCAUUUGCUUUAUUGAUUUAUGCUCUCUUCAUGUUAUCUUUCUUUGCUUGUUUUUUUUCCUUCUUUUUUACGUAGAUAGGUGUCGACUCAAUUAUUCUUAGAUCAUUAUAAAUAUAAUAUAUGUUUUAUUUAUAUCUGAAAGUAAAACCUUGAGUUGAAAUUCGACAGGAAAAAAUGUGGGUUUGGAGGAGAAGAAGAGCACUUCGUACUUAAAUUUUAAAAAUCUAAAAUUUUAAAACUGAAAGUUACUCAAAACCCUAAACAAUCUAAUAAUUGGAGUUAUAGAAAAGAAAUAUGGGUUUAGAAAUAAAUAAAACAAAAUAAAUUUGCAAAACAAUUUCUAUGCAAAACAACAUGAAGGUGUUGAUGUGAUUGAAGGUGUUCUUCAACGGUGGAAAACAAAUGCAAUUUAAUUUGAAAUUUUUAAAUAAUAAAAAUUUGCGUUAGUUUAAAAAAAUUUAGUUUUAAUUUUAAGAUAUUUUUAGAUUUAUACAUAUUUAAUUACUUUUAUAUUUUUUAGAUAUAAAUGAAGUUGCAUAUGUAUGCAGUUAACAAAGUUAAUAGAUAGUAAUUUUUUCAUCUAUUUUAGGGUUAUUUGAUAAACAAUGUAGGUUUUAAGAGCUAAAAAAGAUUAAAAAAAAUUAAAUUAAGGGCUAGAAUAACUUUUUUAAUUUACCAUAAACUUAACAAUGUAGUCUCCUAAUGAAAUUUUAAUUUUUUAUAAGAUGAAAAAAAAUCUACAUUGUUAAGAUGAUUUAGGUUAUAGCAUAGUUAAAGGUAGAAAUAAUUUUUUAGGGGUGGAUGAAAUUUUAAUUUUUUAUAGUUUACAUAUUUAUAAUUUCUAAAAGAUUAAAUUGAAAUUUAUAAUGUUAGGAGUCCUAAAAUUUUAGUUCAAUCAUUAUCGUUAUUGAUAGUUUAUAUUAAAACUUGUCAACUUGACAUGUUUAUUUUCCAGUCAAACAUAUGUUACAUUACAUGAGAGCAACCUAGUCAUGAUGUCAAUUUGACUUCAGUAAAUACAUAAGAUUUUGAUGACUGGGCUGUUAUUUUUUUUUAAAUAAAAAAUGUAGGAGGAGCUAAUUUUUUAACUUUGUAAAGUACAGGGACUAAAUAUAAAAGUUUUUCAAAUUGCAAGGAGUAGAAUUUUGAUGAUAAGGGUUUUUACUCUGUGUUUAUGAGCUUUAGGUUUAUGAGACUCUAGAGCAUCGAUUAGUUGUUGCAGAAGCGGCUCAAAGAUUGAGACUUCCACCAAUAUCUAAAGAUGGGGAAAUUCAUGAGGAAGAAAUUGAGAAAUGGAGUAUUAUGUCACGGAGUUCGCUUGAUAGUCUAGUACCAGUCUCACUAUCAGCUCGAGUUGAAACUUGUUGAAUUAUGCAAAUAGUGCUGCAACCAGUGGUGCAGCUGCAAAUAAUACUGGUGUUGCUGGUGUGCCUAAUCGUUUUCUUGGAGGCAAACUCAACUUCAACGAGUACCAUUGUCAAUGGUAUGAAAACUUUGUUUCAUGAUUGUAGAUGGAAGUUUUAAGAUCUUUAGUUACAAAAGAGGCCCUUGUUUUAGUUGUCUUAAACUUUCUUACAAGAUCACGACACAUUUCUAAAAUUUUUGUUAAUUUGCAAAUUUAGGAUAUGGUUGACUAUCAGUGAACUCUUUCAAGCGAGAUUGAUCUCUUAAUUAUUCAAAAGUUUUUAUUUAAGUCAAUGGAUUGUUAAGUUUUUUUUAUUUAUUUUUAAAAAAAUAAGAAGUCUUGCUAGGAAGCUCCAAGCGACAAUUUGAUGAUCGGUAUGGUAGAUUAGUACCCAUAGACGAGUAGAAGAACAUAGCUUAGAUUUAAAUUAUAAUUUGCAGUAAGAUUCAUCAGAAUAAAAAAAUUAAAUAAAAAAAAAGGAGUGGAAUUAUACAUUAAACCAUUUGACACUUAAUACACACAAUUUGUAAGCAUGGUCUCCAAUUUGGAUGCUGCAAAUUGUUGUUAAUUUGGGUGGAAUUAUUGGACAUUCUUCUGCAAUUGUUAGAAAUUGGUGUUGUUAUUAUGGAGUUCAAAGGUUAAUAUUUUAUGCUUGCAGAUUAGACGUGGAAUGUAGAUGAACUGAAGGCUGUUUUAACUUUUGUCUUAUAAGCCAUAUAUGAACAUAUGGGAUGUGAAUAGGAGCUCUUUACGAGCUCUUCAAGAAGACAAGUGGCGCGGUGAUAGAUGACGGGCUGAUUAACAAGGUAUUUCUUCUAGGUUAAAUCCUUCUAUUAGUCCCUACUGUGGAUCUAGUUCCUAUAUUUUAAUUUGAUUAAUUUUAGUCCUAACCCAAACAGUAACUGUUAAAUUUACUUGGUUAAAUUCAAUCACUAACUUUGUGCUAUGCAUACAGGUGUAGAUUUAGUUCAUAUUCUGCAACUAAAUCAUUUAAAGUCUAUACUUUUUGAAUUUUGAAAUUUCAAUCUCGACAUAAAUGACUGUUGCUAAUCUGUUAACUAGGUUUUUAGUGAGUAAUAUGUGGAAAUAGCUAAACUUAACAUUUUUUUUGUUUUGGUGAGGAUUGAAAUUUUAAAAUUUGAAAGUUCAAGGACUAAAAUGACCAAAUUACAGUACAAUGACUAAAUCCAUAACUUUCAUAAAGUACAGGGACUAAUUGCAGAAUUUAACCUUUUUUAUUAUCUUUUUUUUUUUUUUUUACUUCACGUUUUAUUAAACCGAUGCUGUUUUGUUAUAUUUGACAAGUUUUGGGACUCAAUGAUCACUCGAAAUGCUUUUUUUUUUAUCUGAGUUUUAUUUUAUGUUACCAUUUGGCAGGAGGAGUUUCAAUUGGCAUUAUUCAAAACAAACAAAAGGGAGAGCUUGUUUGCAGAAAGGGUAUUUUUUAAUCGAAUGUUAACUGAUAUUCAUUGAAUUUAUAUUCUAUGCUUGAAUUCAAAUAUAUAAACCUGCAAAUUUCAUACUUACAUACAUAUAUAUACAUACAUACAUACAUACAUACAGAUUCCCUGGAUUUGUGAUGUUGAAGUAGUGAGUAAAGCUUGAUUGCAUAUAUAAACCUGCACUCAUGAUAUGGUUCAUCUGACAUAUGGGUGAAGACUUGUCGUAGGUAGGAUCGAAGAUUCAAGACAAAUGCUUUCGCUUCCAAGUUGUGUUGGGGAGACAAUCCAAUAUCUUCCACUGUAAUUAAUAGCUAUCAGAACAUACUAACGGUUCUGUUGUGAAACCACCUACCAUUUUUCGAAUUUACUCUCCAAUUUUUUUUUUUUGUGACAAUGAUCAGUCAUGCCAUUGUUAUCUAAAAAUAUAAAAUUUAUGUUUCUAAAUAGACAAACGCCAAUUGGCAAAAUAUGUAACGCUUUCUUUAUCUUCCAAACAAAUAAAAUGUUGUGUACACUUAUAACUUUUAUUCAUUUUCUAUAAAUACCAUUCCUAUCCUUCAUCUUCCUCUACAAACAUAACAUGGCCACCUAUCUCUUUCUCUCCCUAUUCCUCUUCUUUCCCCAUCUUUAUGCUUCUUUUUCUUCUUCAGUAUCUCACUCCUGCUCUUCACUAAUCCAGUUCAAGAACUCUUUUUCCAUAGCAAAGGAUGCUUCUUUCCUUUGCAAUGGUAUUGCUGGACUUAAAUCUUAUCCCAAGACAAAUUCAUGGAAGGAGGGUACAGAUUGCUGCUCAUGGGAUGGGGUCACUUGUCAUCACCUAAAUGCUCAUGUUAUUGCCCUUGACUUGAGCUACAGCUAUAUGGCAACUUCCCUUCUGAUACCACUCUCUUCCUUCUUCCUUACCUUCAAAAACUCAACCUUGCCUACAAUGAUUUUAAUCGUUCCAAAAUUCCAUAUGAGUUUGGUCGGUUUGAAAGUCUACUAUAUCUCAACCUUUCUCAUGCAAGGUUUGUAGGAGAAGUCCCAUCCCAAGUCUCCCACCUGUCAAAAUUGGUUUCACUAGAUCUCUCCUCUUCGAUUUAUUACCAUGAGCAAUUUACAAUUGACAAACAUGCUCUGGAGGGAAUUGUUCACAACCUAACUAUUAGAAUAUAUCCCAUACCUUGCCCAUACCUUUCCCAUACCUACCCAUACCUUGGAAAGGUCAAAGUUAUGGGCACCAAAUAUUUAUUUAGUGUUGGGCAUGGGAUAAUAGCAAUUUUUGGUCCCUAAGUGAAUAGGGACUUUGCAAGGUGGCCCUUGAAUCUCAACUAUAAAUAGGCCAACCAUUGCUCAUUCUCAUCAUCCCACAUUUGCCAUUCUCUACUUAAGGCAUUGUUCUCUCUCCCUAUUUGUAAAGUUUCACUUGUAUUUUGGAGUGAAAUAUAUUUGGUAGUGCCCGAGGACGUAGGCAAGAUUUGCCGAACCUCGUUAAAAUUUUGGUGUUCUUUACUAUUUAAUGUUCAUAUUUUGUGAGUGUGAUUGUAGUGAUUUAUUGUGCUAUUAAAUUACGAUAGAGGGAUAUUCUGGCUAUGAAAGACUUGGUACUUAAGUGAUCCUCGUGAUUCACCUCUCUUUCCUGGGAAUUGAACUUAGUGUGAUUUUUUAGUACAAUAAUUUUACUCUUUCACACGCUUCCGCGCAACAAUUGGUAUCAGAGCCAGGUUCAUACUUGGGGAAUACGACCGUUUACGGUACUAUUCACGUAUAUGGCACUAUUUACGUAUACGGUACUAUUCACAUAUACGGCACUAUUCACGUAUACAGUACUAUUCACGUAUACAGUAGUUGGGAUUGAGGAGAAAAAUGGCAGCAGCAUUGUCAUCAGCAAGGACUACUGUGACAAAUGCAAAAUUUGAAGUAGAGAAAUUUGACGGUACCAAUAAUUUUGGUAUGUGGCAAUGUGAGAUCCUGGAUGUCUUAUGUCAGCAAGAGCUAGAUAUAGCCCUUGAAGAAAAACCUGACAAGAUGGAUGACAAGGAGUGGGCCAAGAUCAAUAGACAGGCGUGUAGUAUAAUCCGCCUAUGUUUGGCCAAAGAGCAGAAGUACUCUGUCAUGAGGGAGACAUCAGCGAAGAAGUUAUGGGAUACACUGGAAGAAAAGUUUCUAACGAAAAGUCUUGAAAAUAGGCUUUAUAUGAAAAAGAAACUUUAUCGAUUCACGUAUGCACCCGGUAUGUCGAUGAAUGACCAUGUGAACUCAUUCAAUAAAAUUUUAGCAGACUUGCUAAAUUUGGAUGAGAAAUUUGAAGAUGAAGACAAGGCAUUAUUGUUGUUGAAUUCCCUUCCUGAUGAAUAUGAUCAUCUUACCACCACAUUGCUUCAUGGGAAGGACACGAUCACAUUUGAUGCAGUCUGUAGUGCGUUGUAUAGAUCUGAGACUCGAAAGAAAGAUAAAAGAGAUCACAGAGAUACAACCGCAGAAGUCUUAACAGUAAGAGGUCGUUCACACAGCAGCAAAUCUGGUAGAAGGGGAAAGUCCAAAGGGAGACCCGCCAAAGAUGAAUGUGCCUUUUGCCGUGAAAAAGGGCAUUGGAAAAAGAAUUGUCCUAAGCUACAAAAGGGCAAGGCUAUUUCUAAUGCAUGUGUAGCGGAGCAUGAUGAGGAGUCAGACUUUAGCUUGGUUGGCAUGGCAAUGGCAUGUCAAACGGAUGAGUGGAUUUUGGAUUCAGGAUGUACUUACCAUAUGUGUCCUAAUAAGGACUGGUUUUCUAGUCUUAAAGAGCUAGAAGGUGGAAUUGUUCUUAUGGGCAAUGAUAGUGCUUGUAAGACAAUGGGAGUGGGUACAGUCCAAUUGAAGAAUCACGACGGCUCAAUCCAAGUCUUGACAGAUGUUCGCUACGUACCUAGCCUGAAGAAAAAUCUCAUCUCAUUAGGUGCCCUAGAAUCUAAAGGGCUCACAAUCACUUUGAGAGAUGGAUUACUAAAAGUAGUAGCUGGGCAACUGACGGUGAUGAAAGGCACAAGAAGAAAUAACUUGUAUUUUUUAAAUGGAAGUACAGUUAUUGGAUCAACAUCAACAGUUUCUACAAAAGAUGUAGAUUCAGAGGCACCAGAUUAUGGCAUAUGCGAUUGGGACAUGCUGGUGAAAAAGCUUUGCAGACAUUGGUGAAGCAAGGCUUAUUGAAAGGUACAAAUUCUUGCAAAAUGGAAUUCUGUGAACAUUGUGUUCUGGGCAAGCAGAAGAGGGUAAAAUUUGGUCCAGCAAUUCACAAUACGAAAGGAAUUCUGGACUACGUUCACAGUGAUGUGUGGGGACCUACCAAAGUAGCUUCUUUGGGAGGUAUGCACUAUUUUGUUACUUUUGUUGAUGAUUAUUCAAGAAAAGUAUGGGUGUAUCUAAUGAAAAGAAAAAGUGAAGUUUUGGAUGCAUUUUUGAAAUGGAAGAAGAUGGUGGAGACUCAGACUGGUCGAAAGGUCAAACGACUUCGAUCAGAUAAUGGUACUGAGUACAAAAACGAUUCAUUUCUACAAGUAUGCCAAGAUGAGGGCAUUGUGCGACACUUCACUGUUCGGGAUACAUCACAGCAAAAUGGGGUGGCAGAACGAAUGAAUCGAACUAUACUGGAGAAAGUUCGAUGUAUGUUGUCCAAUGCUGGAUUGGGCAAAGAAUUUUGGGCUGAGGCAGUUACAUAUGCGUGCCAUCUAAUUAACCGUUUGCCAUCAGCUGCAAUAAAUGGAAAAACUCCUAUGGAGAUGUGGACUGGUAAAUCUGCUACUGAUUAUGAUUCUUUGCAUGUAUUUGGUUCUACUGCAUAUUAUCAUGUAAAAGAAUCUAAGUUAGACCCAAGAGCAAAGAAAGCAUUAUUCUUGGGUAUAACUGAUGGAGUAAAAGGAUAUCGUCUCUGGUGUCCUGAUACAAGGAAGAUUGUUUUCAGUAGAGAUGUGACUUUUGAUGAAUCAACCAUGUUAAAGUACAAGGAUUCACAAAAGGAUGGCAAAACCAGUAUUACUUUGCAGCAGGUGGAGCUUGAAAAGGUUAACGAUGAUCCAGCUAAUAUUGAAGGGACAAAUGAUGAAGAGGUUCCUACCCAAGAACCUCUACAGCAACAAGAUUCAAUUGCAUAUAGGAGGCCAAGAAGAGAGAUUCGUAAGCCUGCUCGCUUUGAUGAUAUAGUGGCCUAUGCACUUCCAAUUGCAGAUGAUGAUGUUCCUUCUAUUUACAUAGAAGCAAUAAGUAACCCUGAUGGUGUAAAGUGGAAGCAAGCAAUGAAUGAAGAAAUGCAGUCUCUUCAUAAAAAUAAGACCUGAGAGUUGGUGACACUACCCAAAGGAAAGAAGGCAAUUGGAUGCAAAUGGGUAUAUGCAAAGAAUGAAGGAUUUCCUGAUAAAAAUGAAAUUCGAUACAAGGCUAGAUUAGUAGCAAAGAGUUACGCUCAGAAAGAAGGAAUAGACUACAAUGAAGUGUUUUCUCCAGUUGUGAAGCAUUCGUCUAUUCGGAUUUUGCUAGCCUUGGUUGCGCAAUAUGAUCUUGAACUAGUUCAGCUUGAUGUGAAGACCGCAUUUUUACACGGUGAUUUGGAAGAGGAAAUCUAUAUGACUCAGCCAGAUGGAUUCAAGGUUGCUGGAAAAGAAAAUUGGGUUUGCAAACUGACAAAGUCGCUUUAUGGAUUGAAGCAAUCUCCAAGGCAGUGGUACAAGCGAUUUGAUCAGUUCAUGAAAGGGCAAAGGUACACAAGAAGUAAAUUUGAUCAUUGCGUGUAUUUUCAGAAGCUACAAGAAGGAACUUUCAUAUACUUGCUCUUAUAUGUUGAUGAUAUGCUAAUAGCAUCUAAGAGCAAAGUUGAGAUUGAAAGAUUGAAGACUCAACUCAAUCUCGAGUUUGAGAUGAAAGAUCUAGGAGAAGCUAAAAAGAUUUUCGGCAUGGAAAUAUGGAGAGAUAGAGCUCAUGAUAGAGUUAGCUUGUCUCAGAAGCAGUAUUUGAAAAAGGUACUACAGCAGUUUGGCAUGAACGAGCAGACAAAACCUGUAAGUACCCCGUUGGCUUCUCAUUUCAAGCUUUCUGCACAACUAUCUCCUUCGACGAAUACGAAACGAGAAUACAUGUUGCAAGUUCCGUAUUCUAAUGCAGUGGGUAGCUUGAUGUAUGCAAUGGUGUGUACAAGACCCGACAUUUCACAGGCAGUUAGUAUAGUGAGCAGGUAUAUGCAUAAUCCUGGAAAAGGACAUUGGCAAGCUGUGAAAUGGAUUCUACGGUAUAUUCAGAAGACCAUAGAUGUUGGAUUACUGUUCAAGCAGGAUAAUACACUUGGUAAAGGUGUUAUUGGGUACGUUGAUUCUGACUAUGCCGGUGAUUUGGACAAGCGAAGAUCAACCACCGGUUAUGUGUUUACACUUGCUGGAGGACCAAUAAGUUGGAAGUCUACACUACAGUCUACAGUUGCGUUGUCAACCACAGAAGCCGAGUACAUGGCUGUAACAGAGGCUGUAAAGGAGGCUAUUUGGUUACAAGGUAUGGCUAAAACCUUGGGGUUGGUUCAGGAGCAUAUUAACGUGUAUUGUGAUAGUCAAAGUGCUAUUCAUUUAGCAAAGAAUCAAGUCUAUCAUGCACGUACAAAACAUAUCGACGUACGAUUCCAUUUUGUGCGGGAAAUUAUUGAAGAGGGGAAAAUUUGUCUUCAGAAGAUCAAGACUGUAGAUAAUCCCGCAGAUAUGAUGACCAAGGUGGUAACAGCAACCAAGUUCGAACAUUGUUUGAACUUGAUCAAUAUCCUGCAAGUUUAACAGUCGAAGAAGGCACUAUCAAGUAUUGUUGUCAAAGGCAAAAAAAAUUGUGUGAAGAUAAGAUUAUCCUAAUCAAAUCUUCAAGGUGGAGAUUAUUAGAAUAUAUCCCAUACCUUGCCCAUACCUUUCCCAUACCUACCCAUACCUUGGAAAGGUCAAAGUUAUGGGCACCAAAUAUUUAUUUAGUGUUGGGCAUGGGAUAAUAGCAAUUUUUGGUCCCUAAGUGAAUAGGGACUUUGCAAGAUGGCCCUUGAAUCUCAACUAUAAAUAGGCCAACCAUUGCUCAUUCUCAUCAUCCCACAUUUGCCAUUCUCUACUUAAGGCAUUGUUCUCUCUCCCUAUUUGUAAAGUUUCACUUGUAUUUUGGAGUGAAAUAUAUUUGGUAGUGCCCGAGGACGUAGGCAAGAUUUGCCGAACCUCGUUAAAAUUUUGGUGUUCUUUACUAUUUAAUGUUCAUAUUUUGUGAUUGUGAUUGUAGUGAUUUAUUGUGCUAUUAAAUUACGAUAGAGGGAUAUUCUGGCUAGAAAAGACUUGGUACUUAAGUGAUCCUCGUGAUUCACCUCUCUUUCCUGGGAAUUGAACUUAGUGUGAUUUUUUAGUACAAUAAUUUUACUCUUUCACACGCUUCCGCGCAACACUAACCGAGGUCAGACAUCUGUUUUUGGAUGGAAUCAACAUGUCUUCUGUUAAUCCUCAUGUCUUUAUGAGUCUAUCCUCUUCUCUAAGGUCUCUUAGUCUUGGAGGUUGUGAUUUGCAAGGAAAAUUCCCAAAAAAUAUUUUUGAUUUGCCAAACCUCUUGCAACUAACUCAUUUAGACUUGUCGAUGAACCAAUUGAGUGGACAAAUUCCAAGAUCAUUGGGGAACCUCUUGCAACUCACUCAUUUAGACUUGUCACACAACCAAUUGAGUGGACAAGUUCCAUUGUCAAUUCUAAACCUAACGCGGCUUGAAGACUUAACAAUUGUUGAAAAUUCAUUAGAAAGUUCCAUUCCAGAUGAUGUAACAGCUUUUCCUGAUCUAAUAUUACUAGACUUAUCUAACAAUUUAUUCAAUGGAACACUUCCCUCAUGGUUGUAUACUGCUCCCACCUUAAAGGAAAUAGAUCUCUCUCAAAAUCAAAUCAGUGGGCAUAUCAAAGAAUUCCAAUCCAAAUCACUAGAAUCGAUAUGGUUAGAGAAUAAUAAACUCCAAGGUCUUCUUCCAUCUUCAAUAUUCCAACUUCUCAAUCUUAUCGGGCUCAGCUUAUCCUCAAAUAAUCUUAGUGGUGUCAUAGAGUUGAGCAUGUUCUCAAACCUUCCAAAUCUCAAAUAUCUUGACCUUUCAUAUAACAGCCUAUCCUUAACAUCUAAUAGCACUUCUAUUGUUAAUCUUACAAGCUUAUUAUUGUCAUCUUGCAAUCUUAGUGAAUUCCCCCAAUUUUUAAAAGGGCUUAAAAGUUUGGAAUGGUUAGACCUCUCUUACAACAGAAUUGAAGGCAAGAUUCCACAGUGGAUGCAAGAGGUGGGGAUUGACUCUUUGAGGUAUUUAAAUAUAUCCCAUAACUCUUUGACAGAAGUUGAGCAAUUUCCAUGGAAGAAUAUUGCAUUUCUUGACUUAAGCUCCAAUUUGAUCCGUGGAAAUCUUCCGAUUCUAGCUUCGACGAUCAAUAUCUUUCUGAUCUCAAAUAAUAGUUUCAAUGGAGAGGUUUCUUCUUUAAUAUGCAAUGCCAGUGCUCUUCAAAUUCUUGAUUUGUCCCACAAUAACUUGAGUGGAAAAAUUCCGCAAUGUUUUGGAAAUUUGAGCAACAGCCUUGAAUUCUUGAAUCUGAAGAAGAACAAGUUUUAUGGGACGAUUCCUCCAACAUUUGCAAAGGGAUAAACUGAGUAAUUUCAACUUAAAUGGAAAUCUGUUAGAAGGGCCUUUGACACCAUCCAUCCUUAAUUGUAAAGGUCUGGAAGUGCUAAAUCUUGGUAACAACAAGAUCAAUGAUACAUUUCCUCAUUGGUUGGGAGGUCUUCCACAGCUACAAGUUCUUGUAUUGAAGUCAAAUCAUAUGCAUGGUUCCUUGUGUGUCAAUAGCUCCAAGUCUAGCCCUUUUUUCUCUAAAAUCCAAAUUUUUGACCUCUCAAGUAAUUAUUUUUCCGGACCCCUACCAGUGAGAUACAUCAACAGCUUCAAGGCUAUCAUAAAUCUAGAGAAGAUUGGGAGUACAGUGUCGUACAUGGGUGAGAAUGAUCAUGGAGGGCGUGGUUUCUAUACCUAUUCCAUUGGAAUUGUUAUAAAAGGACAAUAUAUGGAAUUGGUGAAAAUUUUCAACAUGUGGAUGAUCAUUGAUCUAUCAAACAAUCAGUUUGAAGGGGGUAUUCCAAAGGUUAUUGGGAAGCUUAACUUACUGAAAGGGCUCAACCUUUCUCAUAAUAACCUUAAUGGUGGUAUCCACACCUCAAUAGGGAAUUUGACAAGCCUUGAAUGGUUGGACCUAUCUUCGAACAGGUUGUCUGGGACGAUUCCAAAUAGAUUGGCAGAGCUGCCAUUUCUUUCGUCCUUAAAUGUUUCUGAAAAUCAACUCCAUGGUCAGAUUCCUCAGGGCAAACAAUUCAACACAUUUGGAAAUGAUUCAUAUUAAGGAAAUAAGGGACUAUGUGGGUUUUCGGUCUCAAAAGGUUGCAACAUCAUUGAGCCACCACCUCCAAAUGUGCUUGAAAAAGAUGGCUCAAAAUCAAACUUUGCUUUUGGUUGGAAAGUGGCGUUGAUAGGUUAUGGAUGCGGAGUAGUGUUCGGGAUGUUCGUGGGAUAUGUUGUUUUCCAAACUGGUAAGCCAAAAUGGUUGGUGAAUUUGGUUGAAAACCAACAUGAGAAGAGGCAAAAAAGAAAGUCAAAGAAAGGCAAUCGCAGCAAUAGAUGAAGAAGGAUCUAAUUACUGCAACUAAUGUUCAAGAAUUAGUGUUGUAUUUUCAUAAUUUCUUAUUCUGUAGACCGUUUUGCCUAUGGUGAAGGGUUGCAUUGGUAUGUGUCUGUGCUUAUUAUUGUACCAAUUCCUCUGUGUUUCAUUGCAUUUCGUACUAUCUGUAAUGGUUUGUUUGAGUGUAACAUUUUGUAUGGUGGUGUUGUUUAUCUCUUCUUUCAUGUCUUUGAAUUUAUGCUCUGUUUUACUUUAAUCCUACUCGAUUUUCAUUUGCUUUAUUAAUUUAUGCUUUGUUCAUAUUAUCUUUCUUUGUUUGUUUUUUUUCCUCCUUUUUCAUGUAAAUCGGCGUUUAUUAGAUCAUUAUAAAUAUAUUAAAUGUUUUAUUUAUAGCUAAAAGUAAAAUCUUGAGUUCAAAUUUGACAGAAAAAUUGUGGGUUUGGAGAAGAAGAAGAGCACUUCAUAUUUAAAUUUAAAAAAUCUAAAAUUCCCAAAAUUGAAAGUUACUCAAAACCCUAAACAAUCUAAUAAUUUCUAGGCAAAACAGCACGAAGUUGUUGAUGUGAUUGAAGGUAUUCUUCAACGUUGGAAAACAAAUAGAAUUUAAUUUGAAAAUUUGUAGAUUUUUUAAAUAAUAAAAAAUUGCAUUAGUUUAAAAAAAUUAAUUUUAAUUUUAAGAUAUUUUAAUAUUUAUACAUAUUUAAUUAUUUUUAUAUUUUUUAGAUUUAAAUGAAGUUGCAUUUGUAUGCAGGUUAGCAAUGUAGGUUUAAAGGCUAAAAAAAUAAAAAAUUAAAUUAAGGAUUAAAAUAAUUUUAUUUAUAAAAUUAAGAGAACCAAAUAAUUUUUUAUCCAUUUUUAGAUGAUUUAAUAAAUAAUAUAAAUUUAAAAACUUAAAAAAGUAAAUUAAACGAGAAUUAAGAGAACCAUAAUUUUCAACAACUUUACCCUUUUUAAGUAAAGUUCUAUUUGAUCCUUAAAUCACUUUUUUAUUUUUCCAUCGCACUCGUGAGUGUGACAUAAUCUAAUACUAUAUUAAGUCAUUGAUUGAAUUGAUGUCACGAGUUAACUAAACACUAAUUUUAUUAAAAUAUUAUUAAAAUAUCAUUUUAUAUAUAAAGUAAUAAUAUUUAAUACGAUGAUAUUUUUAUCUUUUUAUUUUUUUAUUAAACAAUAUUACGAUAGAAUUUAAACUCACAACUUAUACAAAUAAAAUUUCGUAAUUAUCUGUUUUUUAUUUAUUUAUUCAUAUUUAUCAUUUUCUAUAUUUUAAGAAAUUUUUUUUUUUUUUCAAUUUUAUGUCUGCAUAUAUAUAAAUGAUUGGACUCUACAGUUCCUCCACAACCCUUAUCGCCAUCGUUUUCAUUCCCCAAUUAACUCACACCCAGUUUCAUAGAUUUUCUGUACUACCCCAACAUUACUCUCUCCAGGUAUUACCAUAAUUUUCCCUUCAAUUCUGUUUUCUUUUCUCUGUUUGUUUCUCGAGAAAAUUACCUAACUUUUUUCUUUUUUUGAAAAUCUAUGUGACCUUAAAAGUGAGUAUCUUCUGUCUAGAUUUCCAGUCUUUGGUAGAUCUAUUAUAGUUAUGUUUUUUUCUAUUUUUCAAUCAUUUGUUGUUAAUUUUGUG
rnacentral:lncRNA from 1 species